AAGAGACCAUGUUGUAGGAAAGGAAAGAUUAUUUCCAUCUUAACAGCUCAAAAAAAUUAAACAACUUAGUCAAGGUCACAUGGCUAAUAAGCCGUGGAAAAGGAACUAGAACUAAGGCAAGCUGACAGGAAGUGAAAGCUCGCUCCUCCACAGAGCCCCUACCCGCUAGUGCCAUGAUGUGGGGUGGGACAGAUCACUCCACCCACUCUGGUCGGUGCCCACACCCCUGCGCGGAAAUGCAGCCUGUCUUCCACUUCACGGAAAUGCAGACUGUCUUUCCAGAGAGAAGUGUCUGCUACCAUUUCGGGAGGACGUGAACAGAUACCCAGGGAAGAAGAGAAGUGGCUUUUCAUUUCUCCUAUUUCUGUCAUCAUCCAUUCAGUGGGAAGCCCUCCAGUUGAUUCUGAUGGGUAGCCAGAGUUGAAAACCGAUGGAGGACCCCUACCGUGAUCCUCCCCAGAGAAGCCCUCACACAGGAGCACAAGGAGGCACGCCAAAGACAUGGCCCCAGUACAAGGCACCGGAAAUAGUCUACAUGUCCAUCAACAGAAUGGCUUUGAAAGAACCUAGGAAUAUCCAUAGUAAGGAUUAUAGUGCAGCAGUUUUAAAAAACAAAGUGUAUCUCUCCAAACUGUCAUCGAGAGGCUUCUCAGGCAUCGUGCAAAAAGGAAGUGAGAGAACAACACAUACAGUGCAAUACAGCUUACGUUAAAGAAAUGUCCACAUGCUAAAGACAAUGCUGUUUUCUAGAAGUAUACAGACAUGAACGUAAAUACAAAGAAAGAGGACUAGAAAGAUAUGUUACCAAACUGAUAUUCGUAUCUGAUAUUAGUAUAAUUGGAAAAGUGGAAUUUCACCUUAUUCAUAUUAUUUAUAAGUGCAUUAACUCAUUUAAUUUGUGUAAAUUAAAACAUUUUUUUAAGAGACAACACAGCGCUCAAACUCAAGCCCUGGGGAAGCGGAGCCUGGGGCAUUAGAAUUAGGAGUCAGAAGCAUCUGCAUAAGAGGCUUGGCGGUGAGAGUGGGGAAAUGCGGGCAGAGUGCUUCUAGGGCACAGCCCCUGCAUUCGGAAUUUUUAAAGCACCUUCGAAAUACUCCUGGGUCAGAGAAGAAAUCAUAAUGGUAAUUAGAGAACACUGAGACCUGAAUAAUAAUAAAAUAUACUCCAUCUGAGGCCCGUGUGACGCAAUGAAGUGACACUUUGAUGGAUGUUGACAGCUGUUAAGUGCUCAGACUUGGGGAGAAUUUGGGGGUGGAUUAGUGAUCUGUAGGUUGGAGACUGAGCAAAUGGCACGACUAUUGACUUCAGAGAUAAUUAAAAGUUGUAAAGAAAAGAAAAUAAUGGAAUGCUACGUGAGUCAGCGUAUGACCAUUUCAUGGUCACAAUAUAAACACUGGGCACUGAUCCUCCAGAUUCGCACGGUCCAUGAGCAGAGAAUUUUUGCUCUUUCAUUCACUGCUGUCCUCCAGCCUCUAGAGCAGUGCCUGGAAUGUCAAAGGCUCUUAAUAACUAUUGUCAAAUAAACCUAACCAGAAUUAUGACAUAACUACAUCAGAAGGAUGCUAGGACAUAAAAAUGUACAUGUGUAUGGUGGCAGUGGGGUGAAAGAGGGACAUCCUUAAAUUUUAUAGCAAUAGGAAAUAGAAAUAGGAAAAUAAUAGGUAAUGCCUAAAAUGGAAGAUUUAUGAAGUAGCAACAGAAGCAUGUGAUUUAGAAAUAGAUGGUAAAUACUAAAAGCAAAACAAAACAGCAAAAAGAUUUGGAACUGGAUAUCUCUGGCAAGAGAGAAAUGAACAGUUAGCUUUUAAAAAAAAGCCAUAUAACAUUGUUCAGUUGUUUUAAUCUCUGGGUACGUAUUGUGGACUGCAUGCUAGCCCCAAAAGAUAUGUCUAUGUCCUAACCUCUGGAAUUUAUGAAUGUGAGGUUUUUUGGAAAAAGGUCUUUACGAAUGUAAUUAAGGAUCUUGAGAUAAGAUCAUCCUGGAUUAUCUGGGUGGGCCCUAAAUCAAAUGACUAGUGUUCUUAUAAGACAGAGAGAGACAGAGAGAGAAGAGAAGGCCAUGUGAAGAUGGAAGCAGAAAUUGGAGUUAUGCAGACAAGCCAAGAAAUGCCUGGAGCCACCGGAAGCUGGAAGAGACAAGAAAGGAUUUUGUCCUAGAGCCUUUAAAGGGAGUGUGGCACUGCAGACACCUUGAUUCUGAACUUCUAGAACUGUCAUAAUAAGUUUCUGUUGUUUGAACCACCAAAUUUGUAGUAAUUUGUUAUAGCUGCUCUAGGAAUCAAAUACAGCGUGAAUAACUGAGAUAAAAUAAAAAUAAGAAAAUUUAUUGAUGUACUUCACCACAUUGAUCAGAAGAGCAAAUGACAGAUACAGAAAAGCAUCUGAUGAAGGUCAGCACCUAUUCAUGGUAUGAAAAAACCGGCCCUUUGCCAACUGGGAAGAGAACAGGCUUUCUUUAACCUGAUAAAGGACUUUUUUUAAAGACUAUACAUAGUAACAGUAAAAACUGUAGUUCCUGUUCCAAUUCUGUGAUAUAUAAAAUAAAUGUGUGUGCUGUGGAAAGGCAUCAUUAUACCACUCUAGCAUGGUAUUAAAGACUAUGGACUUUGAGUUUAAAA